AUACGUAGGUGGCAAGCGUUGUCCGGAAUUAUUGGGCGUAAAGCGCGCGCAGGCGGUCCUUUAAGUCUGAUGUGAAAGCCCACGGCUCAACCGUGGAGGGUCAUUGGAAACUGGGGGACUUGAGUGCAGAAGAGGAAAGUGGAAUUCCAAGUGUAGCGGUGAAAUGCGUAGAGAUUUGGAGGAACACCAGUGGCGAAGGCGACUUUCGGGUCUGUAACUGACGCUGGGGCGCGAAAGCGGGGGGAGCAAACAGGAUUAGAUACCCUGGUAGUCCACGCCGUAAACGAUGAGUGCUAAGUGUUAGGGGGUUUCCGCCCCUUAGUGCUGCAGCUAACGCAUUAAGCACUCCGCCUGGGGAGUACGGUCGCGAGACUGAAACUCAAAUGAAUUGACGGGG
rnacentral:rRNA from 1 species